UUCUUUGAUGAAGGAUGAGAACCGUGCCU
rnacentral:piRNA from 1 species